CCUACGGGAGGCAGCAGUAGGGAAUCUUGCUCAAUGGGGGAAACCCUGAAGCAGCAACGCCGCGUGGAGGAUGAAGGUUUUCGGAUUGUAAACUCCUUUUGUUAGAGACGAUAAUGACGGUAUGUAACGCAUAAGCACCGGCUAACUCCGUGCAAGCAGCCGAGGUAAUACGGAGGGUGCAAGCGUUACUCGGAAUCACUGGGCGUAAAGGGCGCGUAGGCGGGAUAGCAAGUCAGAUGUGAAAUCCUAUGGCUUAACCAUAGAACUGCAUUUGAAACUGUUAUUCUAGAGUAUGGGAGAGGUAGGUGGAAUUCUUGGUGUAGGGGUAAAAUCCGUAGAGAUCAAGAGGAAUACUCAUUGCGAAGGCGACCUGCUAGAACAUAACUGACGCUGAUGCGCGAAAGCGUGGGGAGCAAACAGGAUUAGAUACCCCUGUAGUC
rnacentral:rRNA from 1 species